UACGUAGGGUGCAAGCGUUGUCCGGAAUUAUUGGGCGUAAAGAGCUCGUAGGCGGUCUGUCACGUCGGCUGUGAAAACCCGAGGCUCAACCUCGGGCCUGCAGUCGAUACGGGCAGACUAGAGUUCGGCAGGGGAGACUGGAAUUCCUGGUGUAGCGGUGAAAUGCGCAGAUAUCAGGAGGAACACCCGGUGGGCGAAGGCGGGGUCUCUGGGCCGAAAACU
rnacentral:rRNA from 1 species